AGGCGCUGGAGUUGGGGCAAAAGGGAGAGGGAGGGAGCCCGAAACUCGCGGCGGCGGCCAAUCGGCUCUCACUGCCGUCCAAUCGCAAGACCUAGCUGCAGUGUGAUUGGCCUUCGGCCCCGGUCCCAGGAGCGGGGAGAUGCCUGACUCGGGUCGUGGCUGACGACCCGACGGUUCGCCUGCGGCCGCCUCCAACAACGGUGGAAACCGCACACAGGGACCGCGGGCCCUCGGUGCAGCAAAUCGGAAAGUGCUGCGGUCGGCGGCCCUGGGCUCUGAGCGCUCAAGCGAGCAGAGGGGUGGAGGGGCUCUCCCCACCCACAGGAGGCUCUCGGCGGGGCGCAGCCAAUUCUGCGCGCCCAAGGCUCCCCUCUGCCGUGGAUCGCGUGUGCCGAGUGUUGGCCUCUUCCCCGAAAGGGCCAGACGGACCAAGGGGGCCUUCCCAGCCGGCUGCAAGCUCUCAGACGCUAAAAUGGGAACAAAGCUUCCAGAAAGGCAGCGCCUUUGGGCGGCCGCGCCCCGCCCAGCCGCGGGGGCCAUUGAUACAGAGGCUUGCUGCGCUUGGUGUGCGCGGCCCGGCCGGGCCUCUGGAAACGCCCAUGAGAAAUGAGCUCAUGCUGGAUGCGCGCGCUCCUUGGGCGCAACUGCCCAGCGCAAAACGGGCCCCGAAAGCAGGUGAGUGGAGGACACUUCAAUCUAAAGUGAUCUUAAAGGAGGAGUAGUAGGAUUUGAAGAUGAAGAAAGAAGAGGGGAGGAAACGGGUCAUGAUCCAGACCCCAGGAGAGGGUUCUUGGAUCUCACACAAGAAAGAAUUCAGGGUGACCCCACAGUGCAAAAGUCAAAGCAAGUAUUAAGAAAAUGAAGGAAUAACAGAAUGGCUACUACAUAGAGCAGCCCUGAGGGCUGCUGGUUGCCCUUUUUUUUUUUUCCUUUGAGAUGGAGUUUUCGUUCUUGUUGCCCAGGCUGGAGUGCAAUGGCGUGAUCUCGGCUCACCACAACCUCCACCUCCCAGGUUCAAGCAAUUCUGCCUCAGCCUCCCGAGUAGCUGAGAUUACAGGCAUGCGCCACCACGCCCGGCUAAUUUUGUGUUUUUAGUAGAGUGAGGGUUUCUCCAUGUUGGUCAGGUUGGUCUUGAACUUCCGACCUCAGUUGAUCUGCCCGCCUUGGCCUCCCAAAGUACUGGGAUUACAGGCAUAAGCCACCGCACCUGGCCUGGUUGCCCAUUCUUUAUGGUCGUUUCUUGAUGAUAUGCUAACCAAGGAGUGGAUUAAUCAUGCCUCCCCUUUUUGGACCACAUAGGGUCUAAACUGUCAUGGCACAUUUGUAAACUGUCAUGGCACUGGUGGGAGUGUAGCAGUGAGGACGACCAGAGGUCACUCUCGUCGCCAUUUUGGUUUUGGUGGGUUUUGGCCAGCUCCUUUACUGCAACCUGUUUUAUCAGCAAGGUCUUUAAGACCUGUAUUUUGUGCUGACCUCCUAUCUCAUCCUGUGACUUAGAAUGCCUUAACUGACCAUCUGGGAAUGCAGCCCAAUAGAUUUCACCCUCAUUUUGCCCGGCUCCUGUUUAAGAUGGAGUUGCUCUGGUUCACAUGCCUCUAACAAAUCCUUUUAGUUUUUCAUGCUUGUCACAUGUUUACUUCUAAGGGUAUAAUCAUGUGGUUUACUAUAUUAUUACCGAUUAGAUUAUUUUGAACUACUUCAAUUUUAUUUAUUUUACCUCAUUUCCAUUCACAUUUUUUGAAAAGAGCUUUUUUAUACAAGAGUGUAAAUAUUUUCACAUUGAAUAAAUGAAUUGAAAACAGUA
rnacentral:lncRNA from 1 species